rnacentral:rRNA from 1 species
GACGAACGCUGGCGGCGUGCCUAAUACAUGCAAGUAGAACGCUGAAGAGAGGAGCUUGCUCUUCUUGGAUGAGUUGCGAACGGGUGAGUAACGCGUAGGUAACCUGCCUUGUAGCGGGGGAUAACUAUUGGAAACGAUAGCUAAUACCGCAUAACAAUGGAUGACACAUGUCAUUUAUUUGAAAGGGGCAAUUGCUCCACUACAAGAUGGACCUGCGUUGUAUUAGCUAGUAGGUGAGGUAAUGGCUCACCUAGGCGACGAUACAUGGCCGACCUGAGAGGGUGAUCGGCCACACUGGGACUGAGACACGGCCCAGACUCCUACGGGAGGCAGCAGUAGGGAAUCUUCGGCAAUGGGGGCAACCCUGACCGAGCAACGCCGCGUGAGUGAAGAAGGUUUUCGGAUCGUAAAGCUCUGUUGUAAGUCAAGAACGGGUGUGAGAGUGGAAAGUUCACACUGUGACGGUAGCUUACCAGAAAGGGACGGCUAACUACGUG